AAGACUAUAGACCUGCGGAGUACCUGCGGAAGGAUCAUUACAGAGUUUUCUAAACUCCCAAACCCAUGUGAACUUACCAUUGUUGCCUCGGCGGAGCCUACCCUGUAGCUACCCUAUAAGGUGGUUACCCUGUAGCGCCCCGCCGGUGGAUUUUCAAACUCUUGUUAUUUAUAGUAAUCUGAGAGUCUUAUUUUAAAUAAGUCAAAACUUUCAACAACGGAUCUCUAGAUCGGAAGAGCA
rnacentral:misc_RNA from 1 species